UACAGAGGGGGCAAGCGUUGUUCGGAAUUACUGGGCGUAAAGGGCGCGUAGGCGGCCUGCUAAGUCGCACGUGAAAUCCCCAGGCUCAACCCGGGAACUGCGUCCGAUACUGGCAGGCUUGAAUCCGGGAGAGGGAUGUGGAAUUCCAGGUGUAGCGGUGAAAUGCGUAGAUAUCUGGAGGAACACCGGUGGCGAAGGCGGCAUCCUGGACCGGCAUUGACGCUGAGGCGCGAAAGCCAGGGGAGCAAACGGG
rnacentral:rRNA from 1 species